rnacentral:rRNA from 1 species
GGCUCAGGAUGAACGCUAGCGGCAGGCCUAACACAUGCAAGUCGAGGGGUAUAAGUAGCAAUACUUAGAGACCGGCGCACGGGUGAGUAACGCGUAUGCAAUCUGCCCUAUAUCGGGGGAUAGCUCGUCGAAAGGCGAAUUAAUACCCCAUAAGACUACGAAACGGCAUCGUUUUGUAUUUAAAACUCUGGUGAUAUAGGAUGAGCAUGCGUGACAUUAGCUAGUUGGUGAGGUAACGGCUCACCAAGGCUACGAUGUCUAAGGGGUCUGAGAGGAUGAUCCCUCACACUGGUACUGAGACACGGACCAGACUCCUACGGGAGGCAGCAGUGAGGAAUAUUGGUCAAUGGGCGCAAGCCUGAACCAGCCAUGCCGCGUGGAGGAUGAAGGUCCUAAGGAUUGUAAACUUCUUUUGUACAAGGGUAAACUACGGUACGUGUACUGUAUUGAAAGUAUUGUACGAAUAAGCAACGGCUAACUCCGUGCCAGCAGCCGCGGUAAUACGGAGGUUGCAAGCGUUAUCCGGAUUUAUUGGGUUUAAAGGGUGCGUAGGCGGGUUUGUAAGUCAGCGGUGAAAGACUGUCGCUUAACGAUAGCAUUGCCGUUGAUACUGCAGAUCUUGAGUACAUUUGAGGUGGGCGGAAUGAGUAGUGUAGCGGUGAAAUGCUUAGAUAUUACUCAGAACACCAAUUGCGAAGGCAGCUCACUAAACUGUAACUGACGCUGAGGCACGAAAGCGUGGGGAUCAAACAGGAUUAGAUACCCUGGUAGUCCACGCCGUAAACGAUGAUCACUGGAUGUUUGCGAUACACAGCAAGCGUCUGAGCAAAAGCAUUAAGUGAUCCACCUGGGGAGUACGUCGGCAACGAUG